rnacentral:rRNA from 1 species
AUUGAACGCUGGCGGCAGGCCUAACACAUGCAAGUCGAGCGGAGCGGCGGGCGGGUGAGUAAUGCCUAGGAAUCUGCCUGUUAGUAGGGGAUAACGUCCGGAAACGGGCGCUAAUACCGCAUACUAUCAGAUGAGCCUAGGUCGGAUUAGCUAGUUGGUGGGGUAAAGGCCUACCACGGCGACGAUCCGUAACUGGUCUGAGAGGAGAAUCAGUCACACUGGAAGUGAGCCACGGUCAAGACGACUACAGAAGGCAGUAGGGGGGCAUGUUGGAGAAUGGGCGAAAUCGUGAUCCGGCCAUGCCGCGUGUGUGAAGAAGGUCUUCGGAUUGUAAAGAACUUUAAGCUGGGAGGCGUUACCUACAGAAUAAGCACCGGCUAACUCCGUGCCAGCAGCCGCGGUAAUUC